GUAGGGAAUCUUGCGCAAUGGGCGAAAGCCUGACGCAGCGACACCGCGUGAGGGAUGAAGGCCUUCGGGUCGUAAACCUCUUUCGGCAGGGACGAAGCGAUAGUGACGGUACCUGCAGAAGAAGCCUCGGCUAACUACGUGCCAGCAGCCGCGGUAAGACGUAGGAGGCGAGCGUUGUCCGGAUUCAUUGGGCGUAAAGAGCGCGUAGGCGGCUUGGUAAGUCGGAUGUGAAAACCCGAGGCUCAACCUCGGGCGUGCAUCCGAUACUGCCCGGCUAGAGGUAGGUAGGGGAGAUCGGAAUUCCUGGUGUAGCGGUGAAAUGCGCAGAUAUCAGGAGGAACACCGGUGGCGAAGGCGGAUCUCUGGGCCUUACCUGACGCUCAGGCGCGAAAGCUAGGGGAGCGAACAGGAUUAGAAACCCUGGUAGUCC
rnacentral:rRNA from 1 species